rnacentral:rRNA from 1 species
CCUACGGGAGGCAGCAGUAGGGAAUUUUCGGCAAUGGGGGCAACCCUGACCGAGCAACGCCGCGUGAACGACGAAGUACUUCGGUAUGUAAAGUUCUUUUAUCAGGGAAGAAUGGCUUACGGAAAAGUGAGCGUGACGGUACCUGAUGAAUAAGCCCCGGCCAACUAUGUGCCAGCAGCCGCGGUAAUACAUAGGGGGCAAGCGUUAUCCGGAAUUAUUGGGCGUAAAGGGUGCGUAGGUGGCCGUUUAAGUCUUUGGUGUAAGUGCAAGGCUCAACCUUGUGAUGCUAAAGAAACUGGAUGGCUUGAGUGUGGUAGAGGCAAGUGGAAUUCCAUGUGUAGCGGUAAAAUGCGUAAAUAUAUGGAGGAACACCGGUGGCGAAGGCGGCUUGCUGGGCCACAACUGACACUGAGGCACGAAAGCGUGGGGAGCAAACA